AUUGAACGCUGGCGGCAGGCCUAACACAUGCAAGUCGAGCGAGCGGCGGACGGGUGAGUAAUGUAUGGGGACUGCCCGAUAGAGGGGGAUAACUACUGGAAACGGUAGCUAAUACCGCAUACUAUCGGAUAACCCAUAUGGGAUUAGCUAGUAGGUGAGGUAAUGGCUCACCUAGGCGACGAUCCCUAGCUGGUCUGAGAGGAUGAUCAGCAACGCUGGUACGGAGACACGGCCCAGACCCCUAGGGAGCCAUCAGUGGGAAAUAUUGCACAAUGGGUGCAAGCCUGAUGCCGCCAUGCCGCGUGUAUGAAGAAGGCCUGAGGGUUGUAAAGUACUUUCAGUCGGGAGGCUUUACCGACAGAAGAAGCCCCGGCUAACUCCGUGCCAGCAGCCGGGGUAAUUC
rnacentral:rRNA from 1 species